CAGAUUUUAUGAAAAAGGACAUCCAACCGUGGUAGUCAGGAAGAGAGCUUCUGCCUAAAUGAGACUUGUUCACAGUCCCACUAAUCCUUUUUCUGCUCAGAUGAGUGCAUGAAAACUGGGGCCAACUCCCGCCAUUUGCACCAAGCAGCUUUGGUAUGAGCAUCAAUCAGGAGGCUGCCCUUAUCAGCAACCACUGAUCCCAGCAUCCCAGAUGACAUCCUGGGCUAUGCAGUAUUCUCAUACCUGGAGGAUUGGGUCCCGGUAGGCCGAUCUCGUCAGGAGGUCAGGAUGGCGACAGGGUUUCUCAUGCAACUUUUUACAGUCUGAG